GACGAACGCUGGCGGCGUGCUUAACACAUGCAAGUCGAGCGGGAAGCUUCGGCUUCUAGCGGCGAACGGGUGAGUAACACGUGGGCAACCUGCCCCGAGCUCUGGAAUAACCUCGGGAAACCGGGGCUAAUGCCGGAUAUGACAUCACUGGGCAUCUGGUGGUGUGGAAAGAUUUAUCGGCUCGGGAUGGGCCCGCGGCCUAUCAGCUUGUUGGUGGGGUGAUGGCCUACCAAGGCGACGACGGGUAGCCGGCCUGAGAGGGCGACCGGCCACACUGGGACUGAGACACGGCCCAGACUCCUACGGGAGGCAGCAGUGGGGAAUAUUGCGCAAUGGGCGGAAGCCUGACGCAGCGACGCCGCGUGAGGGAUGACGGCC
rnacentral:rRNA from 1 species